rnacentral:lncRNA from 1 species
GAAAGCCCAGCCCCACGAAAAUCUAGGUGAUAUUACUUGAGACACAGACAGGUACUUGAGCAGCUGCAAAGGUUUAGUGCUGUUCUUUAAGUACCUAAUGUUUUAUCUGGAAAUGACAAACACCGGGGGAAACCAGUUGUGCUUCAUAGACUCCUUUUGUGCGUUCGGUGGCGUCUUUAUGUGCACAGGCUCAGAAAAGCUCUGUAUUGUAGAGCUGUAUCUCUAGAUUUCAAAAGGGUAUAUAAUCACUCAAGGUGAAACAUGAUUGCAGGCAUUCUUCUCUUGAGAUUGGCAAAACAAUGUUUAGCAACACCAAAGACAAGUCAAAGAGUAAAGAUUUUAUUUUUAGAAGUUACAAAUGACACUGGUAGAAUAACAGGAUGUUAGCAAUUGGGAUUUCCUUAAAAUGGACUCAAAUAAAUGAUUGUUACUGACAGUUGGUGACACUGUGUGGACUAGAUAACAAGAUUAGAGUCAUUAGCCAGCACAUGUCAGUACUGGACAGUAGUCAAUUUAUCACAGUUCCAGUCAGUGAAUCGAUGUUGUUUUAGUUUCUCUCAUUUCUUCAAAAGGAAGUACUCUGUUAGACAUCGAAAAGUCUAAUCUGGUCCUUAAAACCUAAUAUGAGUUGAUCCUGAUAUUUUGACACUAAUAAUUAUAUUGGCUGGAUAUUAGGUUGAAGUUAUGAAAAGAAAUACCAGAAUUGCCAUCAACAGAAACUUCUGUAUGGCAAAGUACAAAUAUAACCACUUCUCAAUAGAAAGUCAAUUAUACCAUUUCAUAGGUACUCAUAUUUUAAAGACUGAAUGUGCCAUCUUUAUAUCUUAGAUUAAAAAAGGUUAAACACCAUAAAAAUACUACAAUUACAACUACACCUAGCUGUGUUUUUUAACUACCAAAAAUGGAUGUUAGAAAAGCAUACAUGAAAUCUUCAUGUCAAUAUUUACUGUUGCUUAAAAGAUAAAUUUAAAUUUAUGUAAUUAUUUUGGAAGUCAUGUAUUAAUUUAAGUGCCAACCAGAAAAAUUAUAGACAUCAAUAUAAGAAUCAUUUAUGUGUGUACUCAGUGGAUAAAGACCAAAAGUGUAGUAUGAUGUUAAAUCACUGAAGAAACAGUAAUAAAGUGAAAUUCCAUUUAUGAAUCUAAAGUUAUGUCUUUUCAUGAUCCCUAUAGACAAAGGUCAUUAAAUUGCUUACUUAAGAAAGUUCCCAUCCUCUGUAAAUUGACCUAUCAAUAAAAUUUCAUUACCUAGGAGAAAAGAUGGAAUAUUAUGAUUUACAUGAGGAUAGAUCAAGAUUUUGAAAUUACCUACACAUCCACCCUCAUUUUGGAUUUGAGUUUUGAAUGGAUGAAUGAAUGAAAUUCAACUGAUGACUUAAUUUUAUCCUUAAAAAAUGUCAAAUAUGAUUUUGUUGCUUUUUUCCACUUUCCAUAAUAAACGUAAUAUAGAUUAAGA